GAUGAACGCUGGCGGCGUGCCUAAUACAUGCAAGUCGAGCGAACGGACGAGAAGCUUGCUUCUCUGAUGUUAGCGGCGGACGGGUGAGUAACACGUGGAUAACCUACCUAUAAGACUGGGAUAACUUCGGGAAACCGUAGCUAAUACCGGAUAAUAUUUUGAACCGCAUGGUUCAAAAGUGAAAGACGGUCUUGCUGUCACUUAUAGAUGGAUCCGCGCUGCAUUAGCUAGUUGGUAAGGUAAAGGCUUACCAAGGCAACGAUGCAUAGCCGACCUGAGAGGGUGAUCGGCCACACUGGAACUGAGCCACGGUCCAGACUCCUACGGGAGGCAGCAGUAGGGAAUCUUCCGCAAUGGGCGAAAGCCUGACGGAGCAACGCCGCGUGAGUGAUGAAGGUCUUCGGAUCGUAAAACUCUGUUAUUAGGGAAGAACAUAUGUGUAAGUAACUGUGCACAUCUUGACGGUACCUAAUCAGAAAGCCACGGCUAACUACGUG
rnacentral:rRNA from 1 species